UGGGGACAUGCCACUGCUUCUGGGAGCUGAGCGGGGCAAGCCCCCGAUCCCGUUCCCUGGCGGGAGCUCGAGGGCCAUAUUAAAGUAUCUGGAGGGCUGCAGUUUGCCCACCCCUGCUCUACAUCCUACAGAAGCCAAAGGGGACACAAGCCCAGUUAUUUUAGAAAAUUCUUUGCAGUCACCUUUACUGGCAAGCACUGCUGAGCUCUUCCAUGCCAAACUCAUUUCAUCUGUACCCGACUGCUUAUAGUUAAAGCACGUUUCAUGUAUGUGAGAGAUUCCUGCUGUUCUUUUAAUAAACACAGUGGCUCCCGUCGAAAAUGGAGCUUUCAACUUCUCCAUGCAGUUGUUUAUCUGACACAGCCUCUAGUGUGUAAGCAAAGAUUGAUCUGAGUUACAAAAUAAGACAAGCAAAUCAACAAGCAUGAGUUCUCAUUUCUGUUGCAGAAGAGAGAUCACAUUUACUCAAAUGAAAAGCCUUUCUUGAUCAAAAUAAGAGCUUUGUUCAUGUCUAUUUUCUAAAAAAAACCCAAAACAAAGAACCUUGCAGAGACCAGUAUUGUAGAUUGCUGUUAAGCAGAAGUUGUUGAAAUUCAAUAUUUUAUUAAACUGUCACUAUGAAAUUACACUGGUUUGCUGCAAGUAAAUUAUCCCUUUAGAUACGGAUUGUUGCGAUGACGUGAGUUAGCGGGCAGAUAUUUUAUCACAGGCACUGGCUUGUGAUACUUACAUCCUUGCUUUCUUUCCAACACACUGUUUUCUUUUAUGGGUGCUUUCAAAGAUGACCUGUUCUUCUUCCUCCUUACAAGUGUUCUGAUCUGAGUGGACUUGGGGGGGCCCAGUGGAGAAGAGCUUGGCACUGCCAUAAGGGAUCUGAAUUCCAGCUCCCUCUCCCCUGAACUGCUCAAGGCUGUGCAGGCUGUGAAAGUAGCAUGGUCCACAGUAGCAGGAGGCAACACCUAGUUUGCAAUAGCAGCCUUUUCUGGCUGACUCAGAGAUGCGCCUGGAAAGGAUACUCCACCACUUCCAAUGGCAGGGGGAAUGGAGUAUUUUCUCUGCAUCACGUGUGUGCUGAGUACCUCCUUCUCUCCCACCCUUAAGCCAAAAUAUCCUCCACAACUUGCUACUUCAGCGAGUGCUUCUGUCCAUGUUUUGAUUCUGCCUUUUUGAAUCCAUAUUUUAAAACUCUCUCCCUCCUCUCCAUUGAUGUCAGUGCAGUUGCUCCAGAGGUGAAUUAGGCCCCUCGCUUACUAAGUAAACUGUCAGGGUUAACCACACUCAAAAAGGAAAUGAGGGGUCAGAAACUCUGUUAUCUGUGUUGCUUGAUGCGGAAGCCACUGGGACAUUAGAUAAAUCUAUCAAGUAUUAUUAUUUUUUUUUAAUUAGCAAACGGCAACUGCAGUGUCACCAUGGGGCAAUAGGCGUUAUCAGCCACGGUCAGUAGUGUUUGCAGUGAACUUCUGUAAAGUGUGGAAAUGAGUAAGACUCAAGCUGGAUGUGAGCACUGUUUACAAGGUACAGGUCUGCCUGUUGAGAGACAUGCUACCCACUUAGAGAACAAUAAUAUUUUGACCCAAAUUACCUCUGGUCACAUCACUGCUGUCCGAGCCUCAGAUUUCUCUACUAAAUCUCAUUCUUUUUAGAUAGCUUUCCCUCGGGCCUACCUCUUUAAUAGCUACAAAACUGGCUACGUUGCUGUGCUUUAGGAGAGAGAUUUAAGUACAUUGACUCAUCAUCUAGUCAUAGGUUACAGGACCUGGUUAUCCUACCUUGUUGGGUGGUGCUCUGUACACCUAAGGCUCACCUACACUAGAAGGCUGAGUUGACUAAGUGUAAAUUGUUUUAUAACUGGUUACUGUACAAUACUAAAAAACCCUUUCUUCAAUCCACGGGCAGCUAGCUGCCAGCUACUGGAGGGAAAUAGAUCAUUUUGAAAGCAGGUCGGAUAAAAAUCAAGGAUUUAAAAAAAAUUUUUUUUAUUUAAAUACAAGUUUAUUCUUUCACAAAAAUAACCAACCCCCAAUUUGAAAUUGACAACCUAUGUUAAGGCCUAAACUUAUUAUAAUCUAUUAAAAUAAUUUCAAUUAAGUGAGUAAAAUUAAUACACAUUUGCUGCUGAACUUUGAAGAAAGUCAGACCACUGAAAUGGUGAAACUCACUGGUUAAACACCUGGAACCAGAGUUUAAAGUGCUAGACCAACUUUUGACAGCAGUCGCCUCCUCUGCAGAGAAAAUAUGUUCUUCAUUUCAGUUUAUUCAACUUCAGUUCAGUUUAAUGACUAGUUCAAAGUUAAGAAACCAGUUGGGAAUUGAAAAAGCAGGAAAGCUUCUUUUCCUCUGCCAAUCUAAAUAUAAACUGGGUGUGAAAGGGUGAGAUCUACUAGUUCUAAAACAGUAAAGGGAAUAGUGACCAGAAACAAUCAGUUCAGUUCACUAUCUAUGGAGAAUAUUGCCUUUGUUUAAUAAAUGUUAGUUCUAAAUACAAAACAUGUUUUGAUCUUGAUCUCUUUUUCUUACAUAGGCAGCACAUUUAAGGCUUUUUAAAAUCUGAUUAAAAAAUGCCAUUUUUGUGCAUUUUUAACUGAAUUUGAAUUUCCAUCCAAAUAGAGCUUGGCACAUCACAAGUUUUUAAAAAAAAUCAAAUAAGAAAUGUACCAUUUUCUAACAUAAUAAAAAUGUGAACAUUAAGAAUCUAAAUAAAUGUAAGUUUAAAUGUGUACAGAUAUGGUGUAUCCUCCUGGUUAGCAAGAAGCAGUCCCAAACUUUGAGGAAAGGCUAUAUUUAGUUGCAGAUCAACAUGUUUUACUGGUUAGCAAUCAAAGAGAAUGAACCUAUCUUUAAGAAAACAGCUAUAAUGUACAAAUGCAAAAAAACAAUUCAAAUCAGUAAUUUAAAUCAAGGCUUCCUGCUUGCUAGUUUAAAUCAUGAUGAAAAUCGGUGACUUAAAUAGCUUUGAUUUAAAAUCAGUCCA